rnacentral:rRNA from 1 species
UACGGAGGAUGCAAGCGUUAUCCGGAUUCAUUGGGCGUAAAGGGUCCUGAGGUGGCCUGCUUAGUCUACUGUGAAAGCUCAGGGCUUAACCCUGACAAUGCGGUGGAAACUAGCAGGCUAGAAUACGGUAGGGGCAGGGGGAAUUCCCGGUGUAGCGGUGAAAUGCAUAGAUAUCGGGAGGAACACCAAAGGCGAAGGCACCCUGCUGGGCCGAUAUUGACACUGACAGACGAAAGCUAGGGGAGCAAAGAGG